UCCAGCUCUAUUUUUCCUCACUGCUGUAACAGCGGGCUGACUUUGUGUGUACAGUUUACAUAACAUUGUCGUUUUGCCGUUUUAAUAAGUCAGAGUCUCUGCUGAGCAGGCUCCUGAAGGACCAACGGGAGCGCCGGCUGGGAGAGGGACUACGGGACCAGGAGCGUGGCGGUGGCAGGAGGAGGUCCUGAGAAGGGAUAUCCCGACCUCGCUCAUCCCCCUCCACUGGACUGGCCACAGAGGAGGAGGGCGAGGUGCUCCGAUGUUGAAUGGUUCACCGGGCAUCUUCUGUCUUCUCACGCCGUGUGACGGCCUCCUGCGAUCCACACGUCACCGACGUCUGUGUUACACAUGCAGCUGAGCAAGAAGCUGCUGCAGGACACAGGGAGUUGUGUUGCCGAGCACCUCAGGCUGCUGGAUCGGGGCACUGGAACUCGAUCUGUGCUAAAAAUAAAGAAACACCACCAGCAUAGCGAGAAAGGAGGUGUGUCACUUAUCGCGUGGGUACGUGUGUGGGGUCACAAAGGUGCAGCCCACCCCCCAUAGACACAACUUAUCAUAUGCCAACAUGUCCUUGAAGUUUACUCCCUUUGUGUGUGUGUGUGUGUGUGUGUGCGUGUGUGUGUGUGUGUGUGCCAAUCCAAGGUCUUCCUCUCUCCCACUCUUGGUCGCGUGUAUACUUUUCAUGAUUGAUCUGGCUGAUUUUGUUAUUGUCAUUAUCAUUCACAGGCUACCACAAGGUUAAAAGAGGCAAGAACCCUUAUCAAGCGCUUCACUGUGUCAUCUGGUUACAUCACAUGACCUCCAGCGCAGCCAACACAGACACACACAACACGUAAACCCAGCCUGGCUGGCACAAACACAGCUUAUAUUCUACUGAUACACUGCACAGCUUGUUUUUUGUAAUGAUUGUACGACGUGUUUCAUUUGAUCUGACAUGUGACAAGGUAUCCCGCAAUAAAACAACAACUCAUUACAUUCA